UUCCCUGAGUAGCGGCGAGCGAAACGGGAAGAGCCCAAACCAAUAAGCUUGCUUAUUGGGGUUGUAGGACACUCUGUACGGAGUUACAAAAGAAUUUGUUAGACGAAUAACCUGGAAAGGUUAAUCAUAGAAGGUAAUAAUCCUGUAGUCGAAAGCGAAUUCUCUCUUGAGUGGAUCCUGAGUACGACGGAGCACGUGAAAUUCCGUCGGAAUCUGGGAGGACCAUCUCCUAAGGCUAAAUACUCUCUAGUGACCGAUAGUGAACCAGUACCGUGAGGGAAA
rnacentral:rRNA from 1 species